rnacentral:rRNA from 1 species
UACGGAGGGGGCUAGCGUUGUUCGGAAUUACUGGGCGUAAAGCGCACGUAGGCGGCUUUGUAAGUUAGAGGUGAAAGCCCAGGGCUUAACCCUGGAAUUGCCUUUAAGACUGCAUCGCUAGAAUCGUGGAGAGGUGAGUGGAAUUCCGAGUGUAGAGGUGAAAUUCGUAGAUAUUCGGAAGAACACCAGUGGCGAAGGCGACUCAC